UGGUUAGAUAUGCUAAUCUUCGCAAACAUAACCAUUUUCAUGUUUUAUGCUGAUGUUGAUUUUAUUUUUCAUUUUGACAGUUCUUCUCGUUCGACAUCGGUGCCGGCCGGCAUCGAUUGCUGUUGUGAAAAAAAUGGAGACUGAAUCAUUUCGAAUUGGUAUUGAGCUGUUUUGAGGUUUUCAGCAAAUAAAAAUCCCACCGAAGCUGAAAUUCGAUCGUUUGGGUGUGCGGCAUUUCAACAUCGGUGAAUAACGUGCUACAAUCGGCAAAUGAAUCCGGAUGACGAACUCUGGAUUACCCUGGCUUCGGAGUAAAAUCUCUGAAAAACAAAUAUGUGUUUGAGCCAUUGGAACCGGAAUGUUGUUUCCAUCGCCCACCGGGAAAAGAUUACAGGUAGCUGGCAGCAAUACGGUACCGUAUCACAUCUGGCUGCACGGAACAUCCAAGGACUAAUCAUUCAAUGCCAGUCAGAAUCCCGAAAGCGAACGCAGGUAACCAGCGUAUGUUCAAAUUACCCUAUCGACGCUGAAAUUUGAGCGUUUGCCUGUUUGGCGUUUUAACACCGGCGAAUAACACACUCUUGUUUCGUAUCGUCGUAGUGGAGGAGUUCCUUCCGGCUGAUCGGAAUAUCCAAGGAUUAAUCACGAUUUGCACCAUGUAGGCAAUUCCAGCCGGAAUCCCGAAAGAGAAUGCAGGUACCCAGCAGCGUAGGUAAAAAUGAUCAAACAAAAAUACCAUCGAAGCUGAAAUUCUAAUGUUUGACUCUUCUGCGUUUCAACACCGGGGACAGAACAACAAUAAUCGGCGUAUAACACCUGCAGAGCCACCGGAAACAAAAUAUUAUUUUCAUUGCCAGGCAGGAUUCUGGUACCAUAUCGCAUCCGGCUAUUCGGAAUAUUCAAGGAUUAAUCAUGAUUUGCACCAUGUAAGCACUGCUAGUCGGUAUUCCGGAAGAGAACGCUGGUGCCCAGCAGACUAAUGGCGGUAAGCUCCAACGAGGAUAAUACCAGAUUUAAUCUGGAUUUUCUUUAAUCCAGUAUUAAAGUUAAUACUUCGAACGGUAAGCACCAAACCGGUAACAAAUUUUAAGAACGCAGCCAUACUAAUGAUGUUUGCGUGAGACGAGGGCGGCAGUGCAAACUGGCCAGCUGAUUUUGUUUAUGUUUUGUCCAGGCAGAUUUUUUAUUAAGUGGUUUUAAUCGGUGCUCACAAUUUCUGUUUUAUUUGCGUAGUUUAAUAAUUGAUAUAUAGGUAUUUAUACAAGCAAGCGGAAUAUAACUAGGAUGGCAAGAUCCGAUCCUUUCCUACAGAGAUACUCUGUGCCGGCGAUUUUCGGAUUGCAUGACCUACGGAUGAAUUUACUUUUUUAUGGCGUAUCCAAAAGUAUAAUCAAUAGGAUGAUCAAUCGAGAAUCGGACUGCGGAUUCGCACAUGGAUUUUUUUAUGCGCUGACGACCUCCUCCGGCAGAUGCCCGAUAAAUUGAACGUUUGUCGUAACGCUGAUUGGCGAAAUCGAGGGCCCGUGAUGGUACUUAGUUUGACGAAUGAUUUUCAGCUGGGAAUUUCCAGUAGUGCUUCAACUCAGCAGCUGGUUUUAGAACAAUUCAUCGGUUCAUUACGAAUUGCAACUAAACGAAGAAAUGAUUAACGAAAUGAUCAAUAGUAGAAAAUUGUUGAUACUAUCAAAAUGAUCCAAAGGAAGUGAUAAAUAAAUUAUUUAUGCAGUAUUGAAAAAA